rnacentral:tRNA from 1 species
UCCGCGAUAGCUCAGUUGGUAGAGCAAUCGGCUGUUAACCGAUUGGUCGUAGGUUCGAGUCCUACUCGCGGAGCCA